ensembl:lncRNA
CUGACCUCUGUCAUCAUUUUAAGUGGGGGAACUUGCACAAUCGGUGGCUGACUAAAUACUUUUUUGCCCCACUGUAAGUGUUGGUUCCCUGAGCCUCUGAUUACAUUUCUUGACAAUCAAGGAAGUGAAAUUAGUGCUGAAGACCCAAGGAGAAGUGAGGAAUCUCCAGGGUGUCUCACAAUCACAAGAAGAGUGACUCUGCAGACUGCUACAAAAAGAGUCACCUGCAGAGUCCACCAUCCGGAGAUAACCCAGACCAGGAACUCAGAAAUGUACAUACCAGGUGAAAGCCUGAGAUCCUGCACUGACAUCCUUCGCUGUUGUCGUGAGGAUCUUUGUAACAGCAGUCAUUGCCUUUUUAGUCAAGAAAUGUCAGCGUUAUGUGAGAAGACAAAAAUCAGGCCUUGAGAAAGAUAAGAUGAGUUGUGUUCAACAGUCUAGCCAGCCCUCGGGAUCAUCACAAAGCACCCCAAACCCUGUUAUCCCACCCCCAGCAAAGUCUCCCCACACCAUCAGCCACCUGAAACCGGAGGCUUC